UGAAGGCAUAUAUUUUUGUUGUCUGGUUCUCUGUGUUUUUGAUGAGAUGUAUUUCUCAAUUACUUUCUUAGAUUUCUCCAAUCAUUAUCAAACCAUUUUUCAUGAUCUAUUGUUUUUGCUCUUAUGUUUCUUUAGAUUAGCCAAGGAGGACCAUUGGUCAAAUAUAAAGUUUAUGUUCCAAAUUGCCAAAUUUACACCUUCAUUGCUGCAGGAGAAUGUUAAGGCUAAAAAGUUGUCCAGGAGAGAUUGUAUUUUUUGGCUACUAAUUGCUUUUUGGUAGAUGUCUGUACUGUUUGCACUCCAUCUAUAGGCCUGUUUAGUACCAUGUCAUUUAUUGGGCCGUGAUGCUUCAUGGUUGGGUUCCGCUCUUCUCAGAUUCACUGUGAUUUUACUGUGGUCUGAGAGAGGUGUUAGUGGGCUGACUGUGAAGGCUCUUAGAGACUCUGGGUUUAGGUCAGUGGGCUGACUGUGAAGGCUCUUAGAGACUCUGGGUUUAGGUCAGUGGGCUGACUGUGAAGGCUCUUAGAGACUCUGGGUUUAGGUCAGUGGGCUGACUGUGAAGGCUCUGAGAGACUCUGGGUUUAGGUCAGUGGGCUGACUGUGAAGGCUCUGAGAGACUCUGGGUUUAGGUCAGUGGGCUGACUGUGAAGGCUCUGAGAGACUCUGGGUUGAGGUCAGUGAGGAAGUAGUCUACAGUACUGCUGCCAAGGGAUGAGCUGUAGGUGUACCUACCAUAGGAGUCCCCUCUCAGCCUACCAUUGACUAUGUACAGACCCAGUGUUCGACAGAGCUUCAGGAGCUGUACUC
rnacentral:lncRNA from 1 species